UACGUAGGGCGCAAGCGUUAUCCGGAAUUACUGGGCGUAAAGCGCGUGUAGGCGGCUUUGCAAGUCGGGUGUGAAAGCCCUCAGCUCAACUGAGGAAGUGCGCCCGAAACUGCAGAGCUUGAGUGCCGGAGAGGGUGGCGGAAUUCCCCAAGUAGAGGUGAAAUUCGUAGAUAUGGGGAGGAACACCGGUGGCGAAGGCGGCCACCUGGACGGCAACUGACGCUGAGACGCGAAAGCGUGGGGAGCAAACAGG
rnacentral:rRNA from 1 species